AGAGUUUGAUCCUGGCUCAGAUUGAACGCUGGCGGCAUGCCUUACACAUGCAAGUCGAACGGCAGCACGGGAGCAAUCCUGGUGGCGAGUGGCGAACGGGUGAGUAAUACAUCGGAACGUGCCCAUUAGUGGGGGAUAACCCGGCGAAAGCCGGACUAAUACCGCAUACGACCUACGGGUGAAAGCGGGGGAUCGCAAGACCUCGCGCUAUUGGAGCGGCCGAUGGCAGAUUAGCUUGUUGGUGGGGUAAAAGCCUACCAAGGCGACGAUCUGUAGCUGGUCUGAGAGGACGACCAGCCACACUGGGACUGAGACACGGCCCAGACUCCUACGGGAGGCAGCAGUGGGGAAUUUUGGACAAUGGGCGCAAGCCUGAUCCAGCCAUGCCGCGUGCGGGAAGAAGGCCUUCGGGUUGUAAACCGCUUUUGUCAGGGAAGAAACGCUCUGGGCUAAUACCCCGGGGUAAUGACGGUACCUGGAGAAUAAGCACCGGCUAACUACGUGCCAGCAGCCGCGGUAAUACGUAGGGUGCAAGCGUUAAUCGGAAUUACUGGGCGUAAAGCGUGCGCAGGCGCUUUGCAAGACAGAUGUGAAAUCCCCGGGCUCAACCUGGGAACUGCAUUUGUGACUGCAUGGCUAGAGUGCGGCAGAGGGGGAUGGAAUUCCGCGUAGCAGUGAAAUGCGUAGAUAUGCGGAGGAACACCGAUGGCGAAGGCAAUCCCUGGGCCUGCACUGACGCUCAUGCACGAAAGCGUGGGGAGCAAACAGGAUUAGAUACCCUAGUAGUCC
rnacentral:rRNA from 1 species